rnacentral:tRNA from 1 species
GGACUGUAGCUCAGUGGCAGAGUGCUUGCCUAGCAUGUAUGAGGCACUGGGUUCAAUACUCAGCACCA